rnacentral:lncRNA from 1 species
GGCUACAGUGAGUGCAGUCACACACUGGACUGGAGAGACCUCCACUGUACCUCGCGCACAUAAUAGGCUCUUAGAAGCUUCGGCAGAACAAUCAGUGACUGAAGUGUUAUUAAAGGAAGAUUAUGUGCUCAUUUUCAUGGUGCCUUAAGCCACCUAUGUGACCUUGAAUAUGUCAAUUCCUAUCUCUUAGCUUGUCUGAUGUGUUUACCUCACAGUCUCUCCAAGCUAACUAUGAGGUAAGGGACCCCAACCAUUUUGAAAACUUAGUGCCGUAGAAACAUGGUAAAAAACAAUCAUUGACAUCAAACUCAUCAGAGAUUCUUUAGACAAUCUCUUCUAUUCUAAGACAAGUAGAAC